rnacentral:lncRNA from 10 species
CUGCCUUCCCCAUCCCUGCCGCUUCUGAGUCCCCUAAUUUUUUUUCCAUAGCACUGGCAUACAUAUCACCUUCUGAAACACUAAACUGAUUAUAUAUAGUGUAUCAAAAAGUUAUAAGUGCUAGACUGAUUGGAACAGGGUGAGAAAGGGUAAGAGAGGGAGGAAAUGACCCAAGAGAUAUAGUAGGAGCAGGAGUCUAGAUCAUGUAGUGCCUAGCAGGGUAUCAUAAGGGCUCAGGCCUUUUAUUUGAGGGGCAUGGGAAACCACAUCAUCGUUUUGCAGUAAUCCAGGUGAGAAGCAAUGGUGACCAGACCAGGUUAGUAGCAGUAAAGAAAUGAUUGGAUUCUAGACAGAUCUUGAAGGUUGAGCCAACAAAAAUUAAUGCGAAAUGUGAGAGUCAAUUAUGCAUCUGAGCGCCUGGAAGGACAGAGUUGUCAUUAACUGAGAUGGGGAAGGCUGUGGGUGGAGAGGGUUGUGGGGAGGAAAUAGAGAAGGUCAGGAGAUUGGUAUCAGCCAUGUUUAUUAUGAGAUGUCUAUUACAUAUCCAAGUGAAGAUGACAACUAGCAGGUUUGAGAAAUGAUUCUGGAGGCCAGGAGGGACAUAUGAGAUGGAGAGAUAAAUGUGGGAGUCAUCAACAUACAGCUGGUAGGAGACUGCAUGAGGUCACCAAACGAGGAAAUAUAGAGGCCAAGGACUAAGCUCUGGGAAACUCCAGUAUCAACCAAUUGGAAGACAAGGAUCCUAUAAAAGAGAAGGAAAAGUGCCAUACAACGAAGAAAAAGGAAAACCAAAGGGUAUGGAGCCCUGGAAACCAAGUAAAGUAUAUCAAGGAAGAGCUCAUGGUCAGCUGUGUCACUGCUGCUAAUCAGUGUGCUGGGUGAGGACUGAAAUUACCAUUGCAUUUAGCAUGAUGGAAGCCAUUGGUAACCUGGACCACGGGCAAGUAGUGUUGAGGGGGAAGUGAGAACAAAAGUGACUCAUUGGCUUUAAGAGGAAAUCGGAGGAAAAGAACUGGAGACUACAUUAAUAAGCAACUUCUUCAAGUUUUGCUGCGACGGGGAGGGAGGAAAUGAGGCAGAAGUGGUGGAGAAAUUUUUCUAAGAUGGGAGAUAUUAACAGAAUGUCUUCAAGCAAAUUUUAUAUACAUGGUUACAGGUACACACCCCAACUUUAGCACUUGUAUUAUUCCAUUUACAUGUUUGUCUCCCCCAAUAAAUUGUGAUAAUAUAUACAUUCUUCCAGCCUGGGCAACAUGGCAAAAUUCCAUCUCCACAAAAAACACAAAAAUUAGUCAGGCAUAGUGACAUGGGCCUAUAGUCCCAGCUACCCAGGAGGCUGAGGAGGGAGGAUCACCUGAGCCCAGGAGCUCAAGGCUGCAGUGAGCUGUGAUCGUGCCAUUGCACUCCAACCUGGGUGACAAAAUGAGACCUGGUCUCAAAAAAAAAAAAAAAUAUUGAGAACAGGAACCUUUUUUUACUCAAACUUUACAUGCCCAUAGGCUAACCCAAAGUACUCAUUUUGUAUCAUAGCUGCAGCAAAUCACCAGAAAUUUAGCAGCUUAAAACAACACAGCUCUGUAAGUUAGAAGUCUAACACAGUCCUCACUGAGCUAAAAUCAAGCUCUGGCAGAGUGUUCAUUUGUUGCCUUUGUCUGCUUCUAGAGGCUGCCCUCGUUCCUUGGCUCAUGGCUCCUUUCUUGUCUCCAAAAUCAGCAUCCUUCCAACUCUCUGACCAUGUUUCCACAGUCACAUCUCUCUCUGACUCUGAACUCAGCUAGGAAAGAUUUUUUUAUUUUAAGGAGGCAGGUGAUUAGAUUGGACCCACCCAGAUUAUCCAGGGUAAUCCCUGCAUGUCAAAGUCCUUAAUUUAAUCACAUCUACAAAGACCCCUCUGCCCUGUAUAUGGUAAUUUAUUCACAGGUUCUGGGGAUUACAACAUGGACAUCAUUGCAUGUCAUUAUACUGCCUAUUAUAUCUGGCGACUCACACAUAAAUAAACAAAUGUCUGGAAUACAAACCUUAUAUGUUUUUUCUCUCAUGGCCAUUUGUCUACUGCAUUCCAAAGGCCUGACUUCCUUAAGAAAUGUAAUCUCUGUAUGAGAGCAGAAACUGUUUCACUUUUGUUCUUCACUGUAUUCCCAGCACCUAGUACAAGACAUGAAGUAGGUGCUUAAUAAAUAUUUGUUGAGUGACUGAAUGAAUAAAUAAGUGAGUAAACCUAUUCUAUCAUGUGAGCUGCCCUAGCCGAUCUCUUCUUUGGGCUCAGCAGAUAAUCUCACUCCCUUAAUGGAAUGUGGCUCCUUCUCCAGGAGCGGGGUCAGUUUAUCUUCCCUGCCUUGUUACUUCUUUCAGCGUCUGAGUCUACCUUUAGCACAUCUUUUCCCUGAGGCACGCACUGAGUUCAUGCCAUCUGCUGUGCUAAUUCACAUUAAGCUGUUAGUGACAUUAUGACGGAAGGACAUGUUUAAUUUUUAUAAACAUGGAAGGACAUGCUUACUUUUUAAAUUAAUUUUCAUAAAUGUAAUAUAUACAUGGCAUUGUCAACCCCGAAAACCUGAGACAGGUCUCAAUUAAUUUAGAAAGUUUACUUUGCCUAGGUUGAGGACAUGUGCCUCACAAGGUCCUGACGACAUGUACCCAAAGUGGUAGGGGCAGAGCUUGGUU